UACAGAGGUCCCAAGCGUUGUUCGGAUUUACUGGGCGUAAAGGGUGCGUAGGUGGCGGGGUAAGUCUGGUGUGAAAGCUCCGAGCUCAACUCGGAAAAGCAUUGGAAACUAUCCCGCUUGAGGGUCGGAGGGGAGACUGGAAUUCUCGGUGUAGCAGUGAAAUGCGUAGAUAUCAAGUAGAACACCAGUGGCGAAGGCGAGUCCCUGGAAAACUCCUGACACUGAGGCACAAAAGCUAGGGGAGCAAACAGG
rnacentral:rRNA from 1 species